AUGCAACAGCUCCACCUGCGGUUGCAGCUCUUGACGAUGAUGGUUGUAGCUCCGCCGCCGCCCCUCGCCAUUGAUGCUUGCUGCACGGAAUUACAUCAACGACGACCACCAGCCAAUCAACACCGUUUGAAUGUGGAUGUAGCAAAAAACUUCACGGUAGCAAAAUCAAACUACGGGUGCAGCAAAACGCCGUCACCGCAUUCUCGCGAGGUCACAGCCCCGCCUUACAUGGAUGUAGCAAAAUCCUACUACGGUUGCAGCAAAAAGAUAGCCAUCGUCGCCGUCAACCAACACCGCCGUGGGUGGAUGUAG
rnacentral:rRNA from 1 species